GAUUAGUAGGAUAUAUGUGAUGUUUGUUACCAUGGACAUUUUUCAUAAAGAGACAUUUAGGCGAUAUGCCUUGGAGCCCAUGUAACUUGAUUGCAAUUGGGACUAUUGAAGCAGAUACCACGCCCACAUAGACGGGUAUAUGUUCUGAGAGACGGCAACCAUUCGAACGUGAUUUGAGGAAGCCGCCAAGGCGAAACGCGUCAUCACGUUUUUUGGACGUACAACGUCAUUACGUGUCAGUAGCACCUCCUACUCCCGGAAGCAUCUAUCCACUGAAAGACCGCAAG